GUGCACGCUGGCGGUAGGCCUAACCCAUGCAAGUCGAACGGCAGCACAGUAAGAGCUUGCUCUUACGGGUGGCGAGUGGCGGACGGGUGAGGAAUACAUCGGAAUCUACUUUUUCGUGGGGGAUAACGUAGGGAAACUUACGCUAAUACCGCAUACGACCUACGGGUGAAAGCAGGGGAUCUUCGGACCUUGCGCGAUUGAAUGAGCCGAUGUCGGAUUAGCUAGUUGGCGGGGUAAAGGCCCACCAAGGCGACGAUCCGUAGCUGGUCUGAGAGGAUGAUCAGCCACACUGGAACUGAGACACGGUCCAGACUCCUACGGGAGGCAGCAGUGGGGAAUAUUGGACAAUGGGCGCAAGCCUGAUCCAGCCAUACCGCGUGGGUGAAGAAGGCCUUCGGGUUGUAAAGCCCUUUUGGUGGGAAAGAAAAGCAGCAGGUUAAUACCCCGCUGUUCUGACGGUACCCAAAGAAUAAGCACCGGCUAACUUCGUG
rnacentral:rRNA from 1 species